CACCGAGCCCCUGCCUGCAGGCGCAGAGGAGAGCUGCCAGCUGCCGCCUGUGUGGCCAGAGGAGAGCAAAGAGCCUUCACCUCCGGCGCCAGGGGAAGAUGCUGGAGCACCGCGGCCAGCACUAGCAGGGGACAGAGGGCUGCUGGAGGGCUGCGACAGCUCUGUAGUGGAGACCGUGCAGAAAGUCCACGUUAGUGAAGAGGAGCAGCUCACGGGGGAGACUGCUCCUAACCAGGAAUAGAAGUUUUGUCUGUAAGAACACCUCCCUGGGCCUGCUUUUCUAUCUGCACAAACAGCUUUUAUCGGGCUGGGGAAACAGAACAGCUGUUGUGGAUUGAGCCCCGAGCCACAGCCAUGAAUAAAAGGCUCCAGAAAACA